rnacentral:rRNA from 1 species
UACAGAGGUCUCAAGCGUUGUUCGGAUUCAUUGGGCGUAAAGGGUGCGUAGGUGGCGGGGUAAGUCAGGUGUGAAAUCUCGGGGCUCAACCCCGAAACUGCACUUGACACUGCCUUGCUCGAGUACUGGAGAGGAGAUUGGAAUUUACGGUGUAGCAGUGAAAUGCGUAGAUAUCGUAAGGAAGACCAGUGGCGAAGGCGAAUCUCUGGACAGUUACUGACACUGAGGCACGAAGGCCAGGGGAGCAAACGGG